AGCAUUUGAAUAAAUUGAGAGCUAUCUCUUCUGUCAACAGGUCAUAUGCACCGGAAACGUGCUGGUCUAUGUCAUCUGGGCCCCAUUUCCUCGUCCGUUCGCCACUCCUCCCGUCGGAUAUAAAUUCAGUGAGUGAAUCAACGGCUGAAACGGACGAAACGUACUCCCCCAGAAGCACUCCACCACAGCUCUCCUUCAGUUUCGUUAGCGAUCGCCUCAUCGCACCGACCGGACCGAUGAAGCGUACUCUUCCCUCUCCGGUAUAAAGAGCAUCGACGGAGCAUCGCAGUUUCUCCCUCUCUCUCUCUCUCUCUCUCUCUGGUGAAGAGCACCGACCGGAGCAUCGCAGUCCGAGAUACAAAAAAGAAGUAAGCGGCAACGGUGGAAGAUGGGGUAUAUAGUGGUGGUGUCGUUGCCGGUGAUUCUGUUCAUCUUCAUCGUAGCUCUCGCUUGUUACCUUUUCGGAAGGUCUCGUGCACGAUGCGAAGCUGCGAGAGUUCCUCAAUAUUAUGGCCCUCCAGCUGCCCCCCACCCUUUUAACACCCAAACUCCGCCUCCUGAGAAAUCAUCACAAGUCUAGCACCACCACCAUAACAAUUAUGCCUUUUAUUUAUUUAUUCAUUUAUUUAAUUAAAAACCCCCUUGUCUGUGUGUAUGUAUGAAUUAUGUGCUGUUUGUAUAGAAUAUAUAAACAAUUAAGCUAAUAUGAAAUAACUACUGUUUUUUCUCCUA